rnacentral:rRNA from 1 species
UACGAGGGCCCCAAGCAUUAUCCGGAUUUAUUGGGCGUAAAGCGUCCGUAGGUGGUUUAUCGCAUCUCCUGUUAAAUCUCGAGGCUCAACCUCGAGUCAGCGGGAGAGAUGGAUAAACUAGAGAUCGGAAGAGGCAAACGGAAUUGCUGGUGUAGGGGUUAAAUCCAUUAAUAUCAGCAAGAACACCAAAUGCGAAGGCAGUUUGCUAGGACGAAUCUGACACUCAGUGGACGAAAGCGUGGGGAGCGAAUGGG